ensembl:lncRNA
GGAGCCUGGCGUGCCUGGCGCGUCCCAGUGCUUGUCAUGAGGCUGAAGCUCGGAGCUGGGCCAGGGCGACAGAGGAAACAGAGAGUGACCAGGCCUCAUGGGGCCCUGUGAAAGCCCUGGAUGUCACCCGAAACCUUUGAAGACCAUCCUGAGGCUCUGGCAUGUCGGAUCUUAGCUCCCCAGCCAAGGAUCGAACUUGCACGCCCCUGCAGAAGAAGGCAAAGUCUUAACCACCUGGGCCACCAGGAAACUCCUCUCCAAAUGACAAGGCUUCUAGCACCUCGAUGGUACAGCCAGCCCUUCCUGGACUGAGCUUUGAACAGCAUCAGGCACCUGACUGAGACAGUCGGCCCUGGGUCACACUAGCGCAGCUGGGCCCACAGCGUAGUGUCU